CACACACAGACAAAACGAUCAGACUGACAGGAACACAAGGAGGGGAAAACGGCAGGAAAACACAGGGAAUGAGAGAGAGGCACAGCCGGACCAUGACAUCGUUCUUCAUACCUGGUUAACCAGGUAGCAGUUUCUCUUUACUGGAGUUGGUCCUGCAAUAGAAGAGAACAGUUUCAAUUAGCUUUACAGCUCAGUACUGCAUCACUUGCUCCCUAUUUUUUUAUUUCCACAUGGUUCCUUAUUUUGAAGAAUUUUGGGCAGAAAACCUUGGAUCUAGUUCGGGAACUCAAAAACACUGACC